AUUGAACGCUGGCGGCGAGCCUAACACAUGCAAGUCGAACGAGUGGCGGACGGGUGAGGAAUGUCGGGGAAACUGCCUUAUGGAAGGGGAUAACUACUGGAGAAGGUAGCUAGUACAGCAUACCAUAGGGUUUGCCCAGAUGGGAUGAGCUAGUAGGUGGGGUAAAGGCGCACCUAGGCGAAGAUCCCUAGCUGGUCUGAGAGGAUGACCAGCCACACUGGAAAUGAGAAACGGUCCAGACGCCUACGGGAGGCAGCAGUGGGGAAUAUUGCACAAUGGGCGCAAGCCUGAUGCAGCCAGGCCGCGUGUAUGAAGCAGGAACUCGGCUUGUAAAGUACUUUCCGUGGGGAGGCGUUACCUGCAGAAGAAGCACCGGCUAACUCCGUGCCAGUAGCCGCGGUAAUUC
rnacentral:rRNA from 1 species